rnacentral:tmRNA from 2 species
GGGGACGUUACGGAUUCGACGGGGAUAGUUCGAACUCGGGCUGCAGGUCGAGGCGACGACUCGUAAAACGUCAUUUGCCUAAAUAUAACUGGCGAAUCUGAAGAUAACCUAGCUCUAGCAGCAUAAACUGACUGGAGCUGAUCCUCCCCGGCAUCGCCUGUGUGCCGGUGUGAGGGUCUCAAACUGAAGCAGGCUACGCGUUUCUCCACCACCUGAGGAGAAACGAAGAGACUAAUCAGGUUAGCGUCUGUGAAAUGCCCGUCGAUAGGCUGAGCAGUUCGCGAAUUCCAAUGAAUCGACUAAGCUUGUAGAUGCCCGAGUGUCGUUAUCUCCGGACGUGGGUUCGACUCCCACCGUCUCCACCA